rnacentral:sRNA from 1 species
CCUGCUGUUUGCUGGUUCCUCAUUAGCAUCACAAGUCCAUGCUGCUGCCGUUAAUGGAGAUAAGGGUGCUCUACAGAAGCUCAUCGUAGGAAACUCUGCUCUUAAAGACAAAGAAGAUCAAUUUGGGAGAACACCACUUAUGUAUUGCGUGUUGGCUGACAGAUUGGAUUGUGCAGAUGCUCUUCUGAAGGCAGGAGCAGAUGUGAAUAAAACUGACCAUAGCCAGAGAACAGCCCUCCAUCUUGCAGCCCAGAAGUUUUCAAGAUAUGCUGUUUCCAUAUUACUGAUUUACAAAAAGGAGAAAGAAUAUGUCUGAAACUUUUCAGGAACACUUAUACCAGGGGCUGAAGUUGUUGCUUUCCUUCUUUGGCCACAGAGUUAAUGUGUCCCAUUCCAGUAGAUAUAACUUCGCCUUUUCUCCAGUCAUCCCCUACUUGUGCCCAUAGCUUAUAGAAGGGAGGCUACAAGGAUGAAAUGAACCCUUUCUGAAGGUGGCCACAGUUAGUAAGCAAACUGCUUCAUACAGGAGUGUGGACCAGGAGGAGGGAAAUUAUCGUUUCAUGAAACUCUUACUUACACGCAGAGCAAACUGGAUGCAAAAGGAUCUGGAAGAGAUGACUCCUUUGCACUUGACCACCCGGCACAGGAGCCCUAAGUGUUUGGCACUUCUGCUGAAGUUUAUGGCACCAGGAGAAGUGGAUACACAGGAUAAAAACAAGCAAACAGCUCUGCAUUGGAGUGCCUACUACAAUAACCCUGAGCAUGUGAAGCUGCUCAUCAAGCAUGAUUCUAACAUUGGGAUUCCUGAUGUUGAAGGCAAGAUCCCACUUCACUGGGCAGCCAACCAUAAAGAUCCAAGUGCUGUUCACACAGUGAGAUGCAUUCUGGAUGCUGCUCCAACGGAGUCUUUACUGAACUGGCAAGACUACGAGGGUCGAACUCCUCUUCACUUUG